AGGAUUAGAUACCCUGGUAGUCCACGCCCUAAACGAUGCGAACUGGAUGUUGGUCUCAACUCGGAGAUCAGUGUCGAAGCUAACGCGUUAAGUUCGCCGCCUGGGGAGUACGGUCGCAAGACUGAAACUCAAAGGAAUUGACGGGGGCCCGCACAAGCGGUGGAGUAUGUGGUUUAAUUCGAUGCAACGCGAAGAACCUUACCUGGCCUUGACAUGUCUGGAAUCCUGCAGAGAUGCGGGAGUGCCUUCGGGAAUCAGAACACAGGUGCUGCAUGGCUGUCGUCAGCUCGUGUCGUGAGAUGUUGGGUUAAGUCCCGCAACGAGCGCAACCCUUGUCCUUAGUUGCCAGCACGUAAUGGUGGGAACUCUAAGGAGACUGCCGGUGACAAACCGGAGGAAGGUGGGGAUGACGUCAAGUCCUCAUGGCCCUUACGGCCAGGGCUACACACGUACUACAAUGGUCGGUACAGAGGGUUGCAAUACCGCGAGGUGGAGCCAAUCCCAGAAAGCCGAUCCCAGUCCGGAUCGGAGUCUGCAACUCGACUCCGUGAAGUCGGAAUCGCUAGUAAUCGCGGAUCAGCUAUGCCGCGGUGAAUACGUUCCCGGGCCUUGUACACACCGCCCGUCACACCAUGGGAGUGAGUUGC
rnacentral:rRNA from 1 species